AUAAGAAUUUUUCGAAAAAAUUGAACGGUGACCACGGUGACCGAUACGGAAUCGGUGCUGCUGCAGGCGUUCAAGGAUAGGAAUCGAGUCAAAAAGUGUAAAGUGCCUGACGUGUUGGCGAGAUCGACAAAUGUUGAGUUGAGGACUUUAGACGCAAAAGCAAAUCCGGGAACUUUGCUAGGUGGAACUAGUCAGGACACAACACAGUGUCCGGACCACGAUCGCUGUUGUCCUUGGGGUGUCUUUAAAUCCGUUCAAGACGGAAUUGGUCAAUUAAAACUCGCCGGCCAAGCUGGACAAGACCAAAGACAGCAGUGGAGCAGAAGCAACACAUCAAAUGCUGUAAUUUAUCAACGAUCCAGCUCAACGUUUGUUGAUUUUCAAAAGUGUACCGAGUGUGUUUGCAAAUGUCUUCGGGAUGGCAAACUACUGUUCUGCUCAGACUGGCAGAAUGCUUUUCACUAGUCAAGGAAGCAGGCGCUACCGUUGGGCAGCCGUCAGUGUUAACGAAGUCCCUCAACACUUCACUGGGUUCUGGUCAGCUGCGUCAUUACCAGCUGAUUAAGUUCACUAGGAAGCAGACCAAGACAGUCACCAACGACAAGAGUAUCGUUCAAAUCCGAGGUCCUUCUGCUAACCUCCCGCCGUUCAUGAGAUUUCUUGCGCAAAGCAUAACUAGUUAU